CCUACGGGUGGCAGCAGUGGGGAAUAUUGGGCAAUGGGCGCAAGCCUGACCCAGCAACGCCGCGUGAAGGAAGAAGGCUUUCGGGUUGUAAACUUCUUUUCUCAGGGACGAUGAAAGUGACGGUACCUGAGGAAUAAGCCACGGCUAACUACGUGCCAGCCGCCGCGGUAAUACGUAGGUGGCAAGCGUUAUCCGGAUUUACUGGGUGUAAAGGGCGUGUAGGCGGGACAGCAAGUCAGAUGUGAAAACCACGGGCUCAACCCAUGGCCUGCAUUUGAAACUGUUGUUCUUGAGUGCUGGAGAGGCAGGCGGAAUUCCGUGUGUAGCGGUGAAAUGCGUAGAGAUUAGGAGGAACACCAGUGGCGAAGGCGGACUGCUGGACAGCAACUGACGCUGAGGCGCGAAAGCGUGGGGAGCAAACAGGAUUAGAUACCCUGGUAGUC
rnacentral:rRNA from 1 species